CUAAGAGCGAAUGGUGGAUGCCUUGACUGGUAAAGGCGAUGAAGGACGUACUAGACUGCGAUAAGCUACGGGGAGCUGUCAAGAAGCUUUGAUCCGUAGAUUUCCGAAUGGGGCAACCCAAUGUAUAGAGAUAUACAUUACCUAUAUAGGAGCGAACGAGGGGAAUUGAAACAUCUUAGUACCCUCAGGAAAAGAAAUCAAUAGAGAUUGCGUCAGUAGCGGCGAGCGAAAGCGCAAGAGGGCAAACCCAGUGCUUGCACUGGGGGUUGUAGGACUGCAAUGUGCAAGAGGUGAGUUUAGCAGAACAUUCUGGAAAGUAUAGCCAUAGAGGGUGAUAGUCCCGUAUGCGAAAAACAAACCUUAGCUAGCAGUAUCCUGAGUAGGGCGGGACACGAGAAAUCCUGUCUGAAGCCGGGUCGACCACGAUCCAACCCUAAAUACUAAUACCAGAUCGAUAGUGCACAAGUACCGUGAGGGAAAGGUGAAAAGAACUGAGGUGAUCAGAGUGAAAUAGAACCUGAAACCAUUUGCUUACAAUCAUUCAGAGCACUAUGUAGUAAUACAGUGUGAUGGACUGCCUUUUGCAUAAUGAGCCUGCGAGUUGUGGUGUCUGGCAAGGUUAAGCAAACGCGAAGCCGUAGCGAAAGCGAGUCUGAAUAGGGCGCUUAGUCAGAUGCUGCAGACCCGAAACGAAGUGAUCUAUCCAUGAGCAAGUUGAAGCUAGUGUAAGAACUAGUGGAGGACUGAACCCAUAGGCGUUGAAAAGCCCCGGGAUGACUUGUGGAUAGGGGUGAAAGGCCAAUCAAACUUCGUGAUAGCUGGUUCUCUCCGAAAUAUAUUUAGGUAUAGCGUUGUGUCGUAAUAUAAGGGGGUAGAGCACUGAAUGGGCUAGGGCAUACACCAAUGUACCAAACCCUAUCAAACUCCGAAUACCUUAUAUGUAAUCACAGCAGUCAGGCGGCGAGUGAUAAAAUCCGUCGUCAAGAGGGAAACAACCCAGACUACCAGCUAAGGUCCCUAAAUCUUACUUAAGUGGAAAACGAUGUGAAGUUACUUAAACAACCAGGAGGUUGGCUUAGAAGCAGCCAUCCUUUAAAGAAAGCGUAAUAGCUCACUGGUCUAGUGAUUUUGCGCGGAAAAUAUAACGGGGCUAAAGUAAGUACCGAAGCUGUAGACUUGACUUUGUCAAGUGGUAGGAGAGCGUUCUAUUUGCGUCGAAGGUAUACCGGUAAGGAGUGCUGGAGCGAAUAGAAGUGAGCAUGCAGGCAUGAGUAGCGAUAAUUAAUGUGAGAAUCAUUAACGCCGUAAACCCAAGGUUUCCUACGCGAUGCUCGUCAUCGUAGGGUUAGUCGGGUCCUAAGUCGAGUCCGAAAGGGGUAGACGAUGGCAAAUUGGUUAAUAUUCCAAUACCAACAUUAGUGUGCGAUGGAAGGACGCUUAGGGCUAAGGGGGCUAGCGGAUGGAAGUGCUAGUCUAAGGUCGUAGGUGCUUAUACAGGCAAAUCCGUAUAAGAAUACACCGAGAACUGAAAGGCUUUUUGAAGUCUUCGGAUGGAUAGAAGAACCCCUGAUGCCGUCGAGCCAAGAAAAGUUUCUAAGUUUAGCUAAUGUUGCCCGUACCGUAAACCGACACAGGUGGGUGGGAUGAGUAUUCUAAGGCGCGUGGAAGAACUCUCUUUAAGGAACUCUGCAAAAUAGCACCGUAUCUUCGGUAUAAGGUGUGGUUCGCUUCGUAUUAGGAUUUACUCCGAAAGCGAAGAAACUUACAACAAAGAGUCCCUCCCGACUGUUUACCAAAAACACAGCACUCUGCUAACUCGUAAGAGGAUGUAUAGGGUGUGACGCCUGCCCGGUGCUCGAAGGUUAAUUGAUGGGGUUAGCAUUAGCGAAGCUCUUGAUCGAAGCCCGAGUAAACGGCGGCCGUAACUAUAACGGUCCUAAGGUAGCGAAAUUCCUUGUCGGUUAAAUACCGACCUGCAUGAAUGGCGUAACGAGAUGGGAGCUGUCUCAAAGAGGGAUCCAGUGAAAUUGUAGUGGAGGUGAAAAUUCCUCCUACCCGCGGCAAGACGGAAAGACCCCGUGGACCUUUACUACAGCUUGACACUGCUACUUGGAUAAGAAUGUGCAGGAUAGGUGGGAGGCUUUGAGUAUAUGACGCCAGUUGUAUAUGAGCCAUUGUUGAGAUACCACUCUUUCUUAUUUGGGUAGCUAACCAGCUUGAGUUAUCCUCAAGUGGGACAAUGUCUGGUGGGUAGUUUGACUGGGGCGGUCGCCUCCCAAAUAAUAACGGAGGCUUACAAAGGUUGGCUCAGAACGGUUGGAAAUCGUUCGUAGAGUAUAAAGGUAUAAGCCAGCUUAACUGCAAGACAUACAAGUCAAGCAGAGACGAAAGUCGGUCUUAGUGAUCCGGUGGUUCUGUGUGGAAGGGCCAUCGCUCAAAGGAUAAAAGGUACCCCGGGGAUAACAGGCUGAUCUCCCCCAAGAGCUCACAUCGACGGGGAGGUUUGGCACCUCGAUGUCGGCUCAUCGCAUCCUGGGGCUGGAGCAGGUCCCAAGGGUAUGGCUGUUCGCCAUUUAAAGCGGUACGCGAGCUGGGUUCAGAACGUCGUGAGACAGUUCGGUCCCUAUCUGCCGUGGGCGUAAGAAGAUUGAAGAGAUUUGACCCUAGUACGAGAGGACCGGGUUGAACAAACCACUGGUGUAGCUGUUGUUCUGCCAAGAGCAUCGCAGCGUAGCUAAGUUUGGAAAGGAUAAACGCUGAAAGCAUCUAAGCGUGAAGCCAACUCUAAGAUGAAUCUUCUCUAAGCUCUCUAGAAGACUACUAGUUUGAUAGGCUGGGUGUGUAAUGGAUGAAAGUCCUUUAGCUGACCAGUACUAAUAGAGCGUUUGGCUUAUCU
rnacentral:rRNA from 1 species